rnacentral:rRNA from 1 species
CCUACGGGGGGCAGCAGUGGGGAAUAUUGCACAAUGGGGGGAACCCUGAUGCAGCGACGCCGCGUGAGUGAAGAAGUAUUUCGGUAUGUAAAGCUCUAUCAGCAGGGAAGAAAAUGACGGUACCUGACUAAGAAGCCCCGGCUAACUACGUGCCAGCAGCCGCGGUACUACGGAGGGGGCAAGCGUUAUCCGGAUUUACUGGGUGUAAAGGGAGCGCAGACGGCUGUGCAAGUCUGGAGUGAAAGGCGGGGGCCCAACCCCCGGACUGCUCUGGAAACUGUAAAGCUGGAGUGCAGGAGAGGUAAGCGGAAUUCCUAGUGUAGCGGUGAAAUGCGUAGAUAUUAGGAGGAACACCAGUGGCGAAGGCGGCUUACUGGACUGCAACUGACGUUGAGGCUCGAAAGCGUGGGGAGCAAACAGGAUUAGAUACCCUAGUAGUC